rnacentral:rRNA from 1 species
AUACGAAGGGUGCAAGCGUUACUCGGAAUUACUGGGCGUAAAGCGUGCGUAGGUGGUUGUUUAAGUCUGUCGUGAAAGCCCUGGGCUCAACCUGGGAAUGGCGAUGGAAACUGGGCGACUAGAGUGUGGCAGAGGGUAGUGGAAUUCCUGGUGUAGCAGUGAAAUGCGUAGAGAUCAGGAGGAACAUCCGUGGCGAAGGCGACUGCCUGGGCCAACACUGACACUGAGGCACGAAAGCGUGGGGAGCAAACAGGAUUAGAUACCCCGGUAGUCCACGCCCUAAACGAUGCGAACUGGAUGUUGGGUGCAAUUUGGCACGCAGUAUCGAAGCUAACGCGUUAAGUUCGCCGCCUGGGGAGUACGGUCGCAAGACUGAAACUCAAAGGAAUUGACGGGG